GUCCCAUCCAAAAUACCAUUGUAUGAGAACACUUCUAACAAUAAAUGCACAAAAAUGUUACUGAGCUAACAGUUGCUGAAGGACUAUUCGUCUAUAACAAUGAUAACAAAGAAUCACUAUCAAAAAUGAUAGAUUCUUAUUCCCAAAAUGUUGCUUUAAAAAUGAAUAUUUCUAAAUUAACUUAUUCUUCCCCACUGGCUUUCAUAGCAAUAUUAGAGUAUUUUCA
rnacentral:lncRNA from 1 species